GGUUAGCGCUUUUUUUUCUCAUUUCUCACAUACAAAAUUUGAUCUUUUUCUAUGUUUUUUUUGUUUUUUUAACAAAUGAUUCGAUCGAACCCUAUGUAGGUUGUCUACGUAUCAUGUCCCUUAUGAAUCAGAUCAAACAUAGUUCUAGAAAAGUGAUGGAAAAUAAAUUAAGAGACAAAAAUCUUUUUGGAUUUUGCAUUUAUAACUUUUUUUGAUUUUUCAAAUACAAAAGAAGAAGUACUAUAACCAAAGACUCGAAAAUAUUAACUAGAUUUACAGACUCGAUACUAUUGUACAAGACUAAAAAUUAAAAGAUAACAUAAGAUAGACUAAAAAAAUAGAAAGUUUCCUCAAGAAGCCGGUGCCUGCAAUUGUUUUGGCUAGAAUGAUCCUAGGUAUUAGUCAUGCUCAAACUCUAGUAAAUUAAUCCAUACCUGAAUGGAAAAAAUAAGAUCAAAUAGAGUUAGCGACUCAAGACACAUGCGACGCCACGACAUCUUCUAUUGGACAGAUGAAAGACAUGAUUGGGCUACUUUUGCAAAAUUAAUAUAUGUGGCCAAGGAUGGCUAUUAGUGCAAACUCAAAAAAUGUAACCUCAAAGACAUGAUAAUACCGCACUAAGGCUUAUAUGGAUUCAAAUACACAAUAAUCAUGGCCCAAAUUAAUUUGCAAAAAUAACUCAUUUUGCAAAAAAAGCAUAUGUGGCCGAAAGUUGCUAAAGAUGCAAACUCAAAAGGACGGACCUUAAAGUAAUAUGACACCUAGUUGUGGACUCAAAAUUCUAAGACAUCGGUAAUUGAACCAAUUUUUGUAAAAAUAACCCCGUUUUGCAAGAAUUGCCGAUGUGACCAAAAGUGGCUAGACAUGCAAGAUUUGGCUAAUACCCUGCAAAGCCAAUAACCUAAGACUCACUAGGAAGAUCGGACCCUAUGUGGGUUGCCUACUUAUCUUGCCCCGAAAGGACGAGAAUCAGGUUUGCGUAGUUCGGGAAGAUUAGAUAUGGCAGAAAAAUUUAAACAAAUCGCAACUAAUUAAUUUGAAAAAACUCUAUCUUUUUGUCUCUUUGACAAAUGAUGGAAAAUGUAAAAUAUUUUGGGUUUUCUUUUUCACCCUUUUUUUAGAAGUUUUGGGGUAUGAAAAUGUGAAAUCUUUUUGGAUUUUCUUUUUAAUUUUUUUUUUUGAAUUUUUGGAAAAUAAUGGAGAAGUGCAAAAUCUUUUUGAAUUUUCUAUUUCAUUUUUUGUGAAUUUAUGGGAAAAAGAUGGAAAAGUGUAAAAAAAUUUGUAUUUUUGUAUUUUCAUUUUUUGAAUUUUAGAUAAUGGGAAAAUGUAAAAUAUUUUUUUGAUUUUCUAUUUUCAAUGUUUUUCUUCUUUUUUGAAAAAUAAUGGAAAAGUAAAAUCUUCUUGGAGUUUUUUCAUUUUAAUUUUUUUUCAUUUUUGGAAAACUAUAAAGAAAAAUGCGAGUGGACCCUACUUGCUUCAUUUUCACCCUUUUUUCCCAAACGCCGGUCCGUCAAAUUACCUUCUUACCCUCAAAGAUGCAACAUGUAGCAUAGGAUGAUUAGAUGUCAUUUUAGACCACGGGACCAUUUUGACAAAAUUUGGACAGGAUCCCUUCAAAGGGACACGGUACCUGGGACCGAGCCCUACUAGGUGUAAAUGACAUGAUGCAAAUAAAAAUGACCUAAAGGCUGAACUAAAUUUGGGGUUCACUAACAAGGCAAUUCGGGGGAGCGUAUGGUCGAUAGUGGUUGCUCAAGCUUUUCACCCACUCCAUACGUCCGAUGGGCCCCCUCCUAAAUUAAGGGUGACUCAACAAAGAUUUCGUGCACGCGACGUGUGCUCCGAGACUUGUUGCAUAAAGAAUUGAUUGGGUAAUGCAUAUAUUGACAGUUAUAAAGCAGUAAACACAUAAAGCAAAAAUGUAAACACAUAAACAACAAGAAAAUAACAAAAUAUAAAACAUAACAAAAAUUAAGCAAAGCGAAUGAAAAAGCAUAAAACAAACUCAACCAAAUAUUCUAAAAGCCAACAAAAUCAAGUACUAGCUCGAACUUAUAAGUCCCCAGCAGAGUCGCCAGAGAUGUCACACCCUCUAUUUUAAAACCAAACCUCACUUAAUCCUCUUAAAAUUAAUAAAAAUAUUUAAGUAAAAGCUCGAAAAGGGUUUUCAAUUUUAAAAGUGACAAAUUUGUUUCAAAAGGAAAUAAACUCAGAGUCGCCACCGGACGUUUAAUUUUGAUGUGCUAGGUCACAAUUUUUUUUUCAAAAUAAUUUUUUCUUUUAGGACGUUUCAGACUCUAAAACCAAGUCCGAACCAGAGAUUCAGGUAAGAGGGUUCAUUUGACUCGGGGAGAAGGUGUUAGGCACUCCCCAAGUCCCGUGAAGGUCCCGAUUGCGUACUCGAUCUAGCUGGCUUUUAGAAUAUUCGAUAGAGGUAAAAAACAUAUAAAAGGAAAAUAAACACACAAGAGGCUCGAGGUCGUCCCCACCUAAUGAAAGAAAAUUAAAAGUACUAAAAGUCCUAUACUACGCUAAGCUAAUGCUCCAUCGAUGAUGCCUCGGACUCCAAAUACAUAAUACUUCGGGGCAUACCACGGAUUAAAAUAUGUGAAGGUCACAGUUGCGUACUCAAUCUAGUUGGCUUUUAAGAUAUUCAAAUUGAGAAAAAACACGCAAAAAGAGACUAAACAACACAAGAGGCUCGAGGUCGUCCCCGCCUAAUAAAGGAAAAACAAAAGCAAAAUAAAGUACUAUCCUAUGCUUCCUCGAGUUACUUCAUCUUUGGCCUUCUUUUACAUUCACUUCAAGGCAUACCCCGGAUAAUAAUAUAUACAAACUUCAUGGGGAAUUCCCCAGAUAAUAAGCUAAUAGAGAUGACCUCUUGCCUCGAGAAUAAAAAUAAAAUAAAAUAAAGAAAACCUAAAAUUUGUCUACUCGAGUGUUGCCUCCUAGAGAUUGAAGCAAUAAAACAAAAUUAAACAAAAAAUUCACAUUCUAAUUUCCGUUUCGAGCAAAGUAUCCAACCCCAUAGCCUAAUACUUAUUUUACUACCUAAGCACAUCCAAUUCAAUUCAUAAGUUAACUCUGGAGUUAUCAAAAUAUUAGUCAAAAUGCCUUAAACACAUUUCCUUCAGCGAAUAAUUGAAACAGACGACUAACACAUGUUCUAACCAUCAAACCUAUCCAAUAAUUCACCAAAUAACAUACAAAUAAAUAGGCAGCAGCAAAAUGUAUAAUUAACUAUUGCCAAAGCACUCAAAAAUUCGAGAUAAAGUCAUCGAAUGCUAACUCAUACCAUCAACGAAACAAAGCAAAGAAAGACUAAGAAAACGAUGAAGUCACGAGGUUAAGCAAAACAAGAUAGAAGGAAUAAGAAAUGAACCUCAGAAGUCGAAUCUGAAACGUUACCGCUUGGACUGCUCUGAAAGCGACCAGAUCACGAACAAGACAUCGACGGAAAUGAAACCUCGAAUCGGUAACAAACUCAAAUUCAACUCCCACGAGCCUCGAACCAGCAAACUCGCUAGUCAACUCCGAACGGAUCUCACACGAAAUCUAUUUUUUCGCAACCAGAUUUUGACUCAAAUACAAGAACUGAUCUUAACGUGAACACAUCCAUGAUAUUAAUACCGAGUAUUUUCGAGGGUAAAUCGAUCCAAAGUUCUACUGUCUUGUUGGAGCUUUUUGGUCGCUCGUUUUCAGAUUUGAAGGACAGCCUUAAAUAGCAGAACAGGGAUGAGGGACGAUGGCUAUACUAUUUAUGGUCGCUGGGGGACGUGAGGAGCAGACGACGAAGCAGUUGGAGAUGAUCUUUCACGGCGAUUGCUGGUUUCAGGGGUCUAGUCAGUGACGGGCUAGGUGGGGUCGUUUGGUUCGUGGUUGAAGAUGGAGACGGGGUGGUCUGGCUAGGGAUGUUGACGACGAAGAUGGGAGAAUUCCGACGGCGUCUGGUUGGUUUGACGACAGGUCUUUGGCGUUAGGGAUGGGUGGCGGCUGGUUAACUAGGUUAGUCUCUAGGGUUCAGCCUUGUCUUCAUGGAAAAGAAGAAGAAGCAGCCAUGAAAGGGUGAUUGUCGCGUGGUUGUCCAGCGGCAGAGGGUGGAGCUGACGGCGGCGGGCUGGCGGCUGACUAGGUGUUUUGGGUCCUAGAGUUUUUGUUUCAUUGUUUUCUAGUUCAAGGUCUUUUUCAAGAAGAGGAAGAAGCUAGGGUUUGAAUUGCAGGUUAUGUCUUAAGGUUCUAGGUUUUGGGCUUUAAAAAUUAGGCGUUAGACUUUUAUAAACAUUGCGCUAAAAACAAAAGCUGAAUAUUUAAUUUAAAUUCCUACAAAAAUACAAAAAC
rnacentral:lncRNA from 1 species